CAAUAGCGUAUAUUAAAGUUGUUGCGGCUAAAAAGCUCGUAGUUGGAUUUCUGCUGAGAACGACCGGUCCGCCCUUUGGGUGUGUAUCUGGCUCUUUCUUGGCAUCUUCUUGGUGAACGUUGCUGCACUUGACUGUGUGGAGCGCUACCCAGGACUUUUACUUUGAGGAAAUUAGAGUGUUUCAAGCAGGCAUACGCCUUGAAUACAUUAGCAUGGAAUAAUAAGAUAGGACCUCGGUUCUAUUUUGUUGGUUUCUAGAGCUGAGGUAAUGAUUAAUAGGGAUAGUUGGGGGCAUUCGUAUUUAACUGUCAGAGGUGAAAUUCUUGGAUUUGUUAAAGACGGACUACUGCGAAGGCAUUUGCCAAGGAUGUUUUCAUUGA
rnacentral:rRNA from 1 species